CUCUUUUGUAUAGAUUAUGUACAUAUAGCCCCAAACAACUUUAAAAUGUAAGAGACAGCCAAUUUGGAAAAGAAACAUAACCGUGAAAAGAAUAUUGUGAGAAUAAUGGACAUAUAUACAUGCAGGACUUUCCACACUCUGAUGGCAAAGGAGAAUGAAAAGACCUCUCUCCUUCAACAGUGAAUAAAGUGUACCAACUGGGGCUGGGUCUUGGGGGUGGUGGAAAGAAAACAAUGAGCAAUUAUUACACAUGUUGAUAAAUACCUAGUCUUCUUUUCCUUCUCUGCCUUCACAGGAAGCUUUCUCUUUUUUUUCCAUCAGAUGUGACAUGCUCUCUCACCUCCCAACUGCUUUCUCAACUCUCUCCACCCAGCAGAGAAUUAUGGGGCUGGAGGUAUGGCUCUUCAGCCUACGUCUCGUCAUCUCUUCAAACCAAGUUUAAGUUGAAUGAAGAGUACUCUGGCAAAAAAGAAAUCACACCUCUUCUCUCCCACUGAUCUCCUCUGAAUGGGUCUUUUGGGAGAGAUUCGUUCGUCCACCAGAGAUGCCUUAGAAAUACCAAAUACUACGUUUUAUGGCUGUAUUUUGUCAUCAGGACAGGAACCUACUAGCAAGUGUCACGCCUGCCCUUACUGUAAUGUCGAGCCCCGUCACGUGGACUACAGAAACAGCUGCAAAGGCCCGCCCACCCACACGGUGAAGGCGGGAGACCCAGAACAAGGAGCAGGCUUUCCUGAAGGGAGAGCUCACUGUCUUACCCGUCAGCUGCUCAGUGAGUAUUAGUGCGUGCGUGCCAAGUCACUUCAGUCGUGUCGAUUCUUUGAGACCCCUCUGUACCCCACCAGGCCCCUCUGUCCAUGGGAGUCUCCAGGCAAGAAUACUGGAGUGGGUUGCCAUUUUCUCCUCCAAGGGAUCUUCUCAACCCAGGGAUCGAACCCGUGUGUCUUACGUCUCCUGCAUUGGCAGGCGGGUUCUUCACUACGAGCGCCACCUGGAAAGCCCUGAAUAUUAGUAGAAGUGGCUGUUUCUGUUCUCUAGGCUCUGGCUCCGUGCACCAGCAUGACCGGUUUUAGGUUCUCUCACCUGAUGCCCCUGGACUUGACUUCUUACUUCCUUGACCUUGGACAUUGCCUUCGAGCCCGGGCUGAGGCUCUGUAACUCCACCUCCGCCCAUGGGCGCGCAUGCUCAGUCACUCAGUCGUGUCUGACUCUUUGUGACCCCGUGGACUGUAACCCCCAGGCUCCUCUGUCCAUGGAAUUUUCCGAGCAAGAAUACUGGAGUGGAUUGCCAUUUUCUUCUCCAGGGGAUCUUUCCGAC
rnacentral:lncRNA from 1 species